rnacentral:misc_RNA from 1 species
AACCAUAGAAACCUGCGGAGUACCUGCGGAAGGAUCAUUACCGAGUUUACAACUCCCAAACCCAUGUGAACAUACCUAUCGUUGCUUCGGCGGAUCGCCCCGGGCGCCUUGCGUGCCCCGGAUCCAGGCGGCCGCCGGGGGACCUUAACUCUUGUUUUUACUGAGAAUCUUCUGAGUCGUUUUUACAAAUAAAUAAAAACUUUCAACAAUGGAUCU